rnacentral:rRNA from 1 species
UAUCUGCCCUUUGGCCUGGAAUAACACGAGGAAACUUGUGCUAAUACUGGAUAAGUCUUUACGGAGAAAGCUUUAUGCACCAUUGGAUGAGCCUGCACUUGAUUAGUUUGUUGGUGGGGUAAUGGCCUACCAAGACUGUGAUCAAUAGCUGAUUUGAGAGGAUGAUCAGCCACAUUGGGACUGAGACACGGCCCAAACUCCUACGGGAGGCAGCAGUGGGGAAUCUUGCACAAUGGAGGAAACUCUGAUGCAGCGAUGCCGCGUGAGUGAAGAAGGCCCUUGGGUUGUAAAGCUCUUUCGUCGGGGAAGAAAAUGACUGUACCCGAAUAAGAAGGUCCGGCUAACUUCGUGCCAGCAGCCGCGGUAAUACGAAGGGACCUAGCGU